CUGAGAGCCUUGGACAGUGAAGUCAUCUUAUUUAUCAGCAGAAAAUUGCAUCCUGAAUUGUGGCAGUAUAAACUUCUCCACUAAUGCGUUUCAAACCCUGACCUGGAAAGAUCACACUGAGUAGUACAAAGGAAGUUCAUUUUUAGUGUCCACUCAGUACUUUGGCCAUU
rnacentral:sRNA from 1 species